GCCAGUGUGGUCCAGUGGUGUUGAUGUUGAACUAGGACUCUCAGAGACCAGGGAUCAAAUCCCCACUCAGCCA